GCCGAAGUGGCGGAAUGGCAGACGCGUAGGCCUCAGAAGCUUAUCCCAGCAAUGGGGUGGAGGUUCGACUCCUCUCUUCGGCA
rnacentral:tRNA from 1 species